rnacentral:rRNA from 1 species
CACCCAGGACGGUGGAUCACUCGGCUCGUGGGUCGAUGAAGAACGCAGCAAAUUGCGCGUCGACAUGUGAACUGCAGGACACAUGAACAUCGACGUUUCGAACGCACAUUGCGGUCCAUGGAUUUCCGUUCCCGGGCCACGUCUGGCUGAGGGUCG